rnacentral:lncRNA from 1 species
CUGAAGUGCUUCCUGGGGCAAAAUGAUCACUAGAAGUUGUUUAGUUGAAACAAUUUGUUAUAAACCUACCUUUAGGUGUAUUUAGGUUGAUACCGACCAAAGCCGGGCCCAGGUAUAGCCUAUUGGAUUCUAGUGCCCACUAAAGAAUUAAGAGUAAUUCUUCGGAUUAGAGGUAGAGGCUCCUGAUUCGUAUAAAAUAGUGGGAGGAUCUUUAGAUCCAUGUCUUUAGAUUAAUGGAUUCAUUUACUAAUAAGGCCAUGGUUUUGUCCUUUAUGCAGAAAUGUCCUCUUAUAUGUUCCCCCUAUCACUAUUGGAUAGUGAUGAGCCGACUAGACCUUUGAUUAAGAAUCAGGCUAACUCGAGUGCUAAUGAGAGAAAUCAGCAAAGAGUUGCUGGUCAAGGUGGUUAUAUGAUAACACCUUAUAAUUUCUCUAUAUGUGAUAUGAUGACUUGGGUAUUGGAUACCGGAAGUCCUUUUAAUAUCUGUAAUACGUUGAAAGGACUGCAAGUCAUUAAGAAUUU